CCUACGGGUGGCAGCAGUCGAGAAUCAUUCACAAUGGGGGAAACCCUGAUGGUGCGACGCCGCGUGGGGGAAUGAAGGUCUUCGGAUUGUAAACCCCUGUCAUGUGGGAGCAAAUUAAAAAGAUAGUACCACAAGAGGAAGAGACGGCUAACUCUGUGCCAGCAGCCGCGGUAAUACAGCGGUCUCAAGCGUUGUUCGGAAUCACUUGGCGUAAAGCGUGCGUAGGCUGUUUCGUAAGUCGUGUGUGAAAGGCGCGGGCUCAACCCGCGGACGGCACAUGAUACUGCGAGACUAGAGUAAGGGAGGGGGAACCGGAAUGCUCGGUGUAGCAGUGAAAUGCGUAGAUAUCGAGAGGAACACUCGUGGCGAAGGCGGGUUCCUGGACAUUAACUGACGCUGAGGCACGAAGGCGAGGGGAGCGAAAGGGAUUAGAUACCCUAGUAGUC
rnacentral:rRNA from 1 species